AACAGCUCAAAUUUGAAAUCUGGCCUCUUGGGGGGCCCGAGUUGUAAUUUGUAGAGGAUGCUUCGGGCAAGGCUGCGGUCUAAUUUGCUUGGAACAGCGAGUCACAGAGGGUGAGAGUCCCGUCUGGAACCGUGCGCCGCGUCCAUGUGAAGCUCCUUCGACGAGUCGAGUUGUUUGGGAAUGCAGCUCUAAAUGGGUGGUAAAUUUCAUCUAAAGCUAAAUAUUGGCCAGAGACCGAUAGCGCACAAGUAGAGUGAUCGAAAGAUGAAAAGCACUUUGAAAAGAGAGUUAAACAGUAUGUGAAAUUGUUGAAAGGGAAGCGCUUGCAACCAGACUUGCGUGUGACGGUUCCCCCGACCUUCUGGUUGGGUUAUUCCGUCAUCUCCAGGCCAGCAUCGGUUCGGGCGGUCGGUCAAAGACCCCGGGAAUGUAUCCACCUCCGGGUCGACUUAUAGCCCGGGGUGCAACGCGGCCCACCCGGACCGAGGAACGCGCUUCGGCUCGGAUGCUGGCGUAAUGGUUGUAAGCGGCCCGUCUUGAAACACGGACCAAGGAGUCUAACAUCUAUGCGAGUGUUUGGGUGUCAAACCCCUGCGCGUAAUGAAAGUGAACGGAGGUAAGAACCCUCCGGGGCGCAUUAUCGACCGAUCCUGAUGUCUUCGGAUGGAUUUGAGUAAGAGCAUAGCUGUUGGGACCCGAAAGGUACGUCGCUCUCUUGUUUCACAUGCACCCCUCCCUCCUGUUACUAACCUGGGAAAUAAUAUGCUAACUUGUACUUAUUUAAAGAUGGUGAACUAUGCCUGAAUAGGGUGAAGCCAGAGGAAACUCUGGUGGAGGCUCGCAGCGGUUCUGACGUGCAAAUCGAUCGUCAAAUUUGGGCAUAGGGGCGAAAGACCAAUCGAACCAUCACUACAGGGCAGGAAACGACCGGGUGGUUCUCAACAGUCCUUUCGGGCUACAUCGUCCUUCUGGCGGGGAUUCAUACCCGCAGCGGCCUCGGCUGUCCACAGACUAGGAGACGGUGGUCGUCUUGACCGCAAGAUGAUGAUGAUAUAGUCGGUCGCGGUCGUGCUUCUCGACCGCGGUUUACGCUGGUAGCUGGUUCCUGUCGAAGUUUCCCUCAGGAUAGCAGUAACGUUUUCAGUUUUAUGAGGUAAAGCGAAUGAUUAGAGGCCUUGGGGUUGAAACAACCUUAACCUAUUCUCAAACUUUAAAUAUGUAAGAAGUCCUUGUUUCUUAACUGAAC
rnacentral:rRNA from 1 species